GCAUUCUGUUGUGACGUGUUUCCAUUUCACUUCGUUUCGUCGUCGUUGUUCAUGUCAUGUCGUUGUUCGACUUGAUCCAUGAACAGAGCGUGAAGUGUUAUUUUUAUCCUCUUCAAUCUUCCUUGUGAAGAUUAAAUACUUUUAGUCUUUUAGUUCUACAUUAUGCGAGCAAAGUGGAGGAAGAAGCGUAUGCGAAGGCUGAAGCGCAAAAGGAGGAAGAUGCGUGCGAGGUCCAAAUAGACCCCAUGGAGACCGGUUGAUACUUGCAUUCUUGACAAUGAAUGAAACUCUGACUUCUCGAACAAUGCGGACCUUCGUAUCUGUCAAUACACAACGUUAACAAAUAACAUCUGCUCUUGACUGAAAUUCAUUGAUGUAAAGCAAACCACCUCCAAACAUGCCCAAAUUAAACCUUACUUUUUUAACUUUGUUA